rnacentral:rRNA from 1 species
AGGGCGUGCAACCCGCCCUCCAUGAAGUCGGAGUUGCUAGUAAUCGCGGAUCAGCAUGCCGCGGUGAAUACGUUCCCGGGCCUUGUACACACCGCCCGUCACACCAUGGGAGUUGGGAGCACCCGAAGCCGGUGAGGUAACCGAAAGGAGCCAGCCGUCGAAGGUGAGACCAAUGACUGGGGUGAAGUCGUAACAAGGUACC